rnacentral:rRNA from 1 species
AUUGAACGCUGGCGGAAUGCUUUACACAUGCAAGCCGAGCGGCAGCGCGGGGCAACCUGGCGGCGAGCGGCGAACGGGUGAGUAAUGCAUCGGAACAUGUCCAUGUCGUGGGGGAUAGCCCGGCGAAAGCCGGAUUAAUACCGCAUACGCCCGAGAGGGGAAAGUGGGGGACCGCAAGGCCUCACGCGAUUGGGUUGGCCGAUGUCCGAUUAGCUAGUUGGCGGGGUAAGAGCCCACCAAGGCGAUGAUCGGUAGCUGGUCUGAGAGGAUGGUCAGCCGAACUGGGACUGAGACACGGCCCAGACUCCUACGGGUAGCAGCAGUGGGGAAGUUUGGACAAGGGGGGCAACCCUGAUACAGCCAUUCCGCGUGAGUGAAGAAAGCCUUCGGGUUGUAAAGCUCUUUUGUCCGGAACGAAACGGGUAGGUCUAAUAAGCCUGCCUACUGACGGUACCGGAAGAAUAAGCACCGGCUAACUACGUGCCAGCAGCCGCGGUAA